rnacentral:misc_RNA from 1 species
AAGUCGUAACAAGGUUUCCGUAGGUGAACCUGCGGAAGGAUCAUUAAAAGUGAUUGGUUAUACAUUUCAUGUAUCAACUGUCACAAACCCAUUCCGAGUACCUUGCCUGUUGCUUCCAUGGGGCCUGACUUUGGUCACUCUUGUGAUGCGAAUCCCAAGAGAGUCCCCAUGGGGGUAGUAUAAUUCAUGAAUCCAUGUCUUCUGUCUGAAUGAUUAAAAUACAAAUGUUAAAA